rnacentral:miRNA from 1 species
AGCUGUCUGCAAAUGUCUU